GAUGGCAUUUAAGGCCGUUUUGCGGGUGGGUGGCCGCUGCCCCCGCUUCGCACCGCCUGUACGAAGUGUGUUCACUACCCUGACCUGGCCGCGGUGCUCCAGCGCAGCGGACCCCGAGGCAGGAUCCUACUCCGCCUCCGCCGGGCAGGUUCUUUCGGAUCGGCAGGAAAGGGGUUAAACGAGGAGCCGCGGCGCCUGGAACCCGGCGGACUGUUCCAUUACCUCGAGAGGGGGACCCACUUACACAUUGCUAAUUAUUCGCUACCAGAUAAUGUUAAGACUCGAAAAGAAAAGCUAUAAGCAGUCAUUAUAAAGCAUGAGAAGCAGGUCUGUGAGUUAAAACAGGAAAACCUGAGGCAUUUUGACAGCAGUAAAUAGCAUUUUGAAUGAAAUUUUUGGGAACUGGACAGAUUAUAUCUAAUACAUGUGAAGAACACCAGCCAUAAAGAAGUCUCAUAUAGACAUCUCUGAACUGCUUUUAGAAGAGGGUAAAGCUGGUAGAGGCCUGCUACAUUCCCAGCGAUUGCUCAGGCCUGUGUAUGGGUAUCUGUGUCUUCUCUGCAUCUGUUUCUAUGGCAUUUUACAUCUCUUUUUCUCACACAUGCCUAUCCUCAAAUAUCCAACAAAACAUGUGCCAACCACAUGUGUCUUUGUUUUUGGUGGUGACAUGCACCCAUAUUCUUGUGGAAACUGGAUCUUUUUUUUUCAGAAAGUUAAACUACUUCUUACAGUGAUUUUGAAGAGCACUGCUUAUGACAAUUAGUUGUAAUGCAUUUUAUCUAACAGCAAUUUUAUGCAUAACAGACCAUGUUAAUAAAUUGAACCCAGCAUGGAAAACAAUACUAGCAGUAGCACAGGUAUAGAGAUCACAGUCUCCUCAGGAGAGUCACUGUAUCAUUUUUCAUAUGACUACUUGCACUGGAAUGCAAUCAACAGUAGAAAAAGUUGGCAAACCUACAAAAUGUACAGUAAUAAUUCAGAACUACAAAUUUACAAUGCUAUGUACACUAGUGGUCUUUCAUUAUCAUCACACUUUUUAAAUUAUUUCCACUUAAACUAUAAGCUUUAAGGAAACUGCUUAUGCUUAGUGUGUUGUUUCUCCAACCAUAUACCUUUGAGACAAAAAUUUCCUAUGGUGAAUUCAUCUUUUAAUAGAUGAAUUAUGUUUAAGAAACCUGAGGAAGUUGAAUAUGUAUUUUAAAAUUGUGGGAGGAUAAAUACAGAAAUGGAAACAUUAAAACCAGGAAUUUAAAUACAUCAUGAUCCAGAAAAGGACAUUUUUCAUAAAUAGAUCAUUUUAAUGUGAUUUUUAAGCUGCAUCAUCUAGUCAGAGACAUAUAUUUGCAUUUAAUUUGUGCUUCUCCAGGUAAACAGCUCAAUUUUCUGGACCACUUAUUGUCCCUGUCGAAAGUUAAACCAAAAAUUUUAAAAAGCGUUUGUGCUUCAGAAUGCAUAGUAUUGCAAGUUUGUGAGAAAUUAAGUGAUAAAUUUAUACUGCUUUCUGGUUCACUAAUGGAGCAUCCACACAUCUUCUAAAGUCCUGACAAAGUAGAUGCAGUGCUAUUUCAUCCCUGUGGCAAUGCUGAGAAGCAAAUUUCCAGCAUAUGUCCAGCUACAUUAAAAAAAAAAGAAGAAAAUAAAAAAGUUUUAAAUUGAAUACUCAGCAUUCAGAAAAUAACAGAUGAUGUUUUAUUUAUCAUUACUCCUUUUCUAUUCCUAUCUUAAAAUCAAUAAAUUACACUUCAGAAGUAAUUUUCAUUACAAAUUGAUGUUGACAGCCAUAACCCAAAAGAGUGCAAAAGUUACUUGUGCUUAUUUCAUUUUAUUGCAGUAUAUGUUUUCUCCUCCCAGUCCCACUGUAACAUCCUUUUGUAAAGGCCACAGGAUGUCUAAACCAAGAGAGACAUCUGCUACAGGUUAGAAGUCUGGUUUAGACACUGUGUAGGACUUUUUAAAAUGUCUUCAUAUGAACAAAUAUUUCAACUGAUAGCCAAAUUUCAAUGAACUUCCUUUUAUCAGGUUUCUGAAUAAUUAUAAGAUUAUUAAUUGCUUGAAUAAAGAAAUGUGAAUGUGAUUUAUCCCUA